CGAAGGGGCUAGCGUUGCUUGGAAUUACUGGGCGUAAAGGGCGCGUAGGCGGACAGUUUAGUCAGAGGUGAAAGCCCAGGGCUCAACCUUGGAAUUGCCUUUGAUACUGGCUGUCUUGAGUUCGGGAGAGGUGAGUGGAAUGCCGAGUGUAGAGGUGAAAUUCGUAGAUAUUCGGCGGAACACCAGUGGCGAAGGCGACUCACUGGCCCGAUACUGACGCUGAGGCGCGAAAGCGUGGGGAGCAAACAGGAUUAGAUACCCUGGUAGUCCACGCUGUAAACGAUGAGUGCUAGUUGUCGGCAUGCAUGCAUGUCGGUGACGCAGCUAACGCAUUAAGCACUCCGCCUGGGGAGUACGGUCGCAAGAUUA
rnacentral:rRNA from 1 species